GAGUUUGAUCCUGGCUCAGGAUGAACGCUAGCGGCAGGCUUAACACAUGCAAGUCGAGGGGUAACGGGGAAGCUUGCUUCCGCCGACGACCGGCGCACGGGUGCGUAACGCGUAUACAAUCUACCUUAUACUGGGGUAUAGCCUUUAGAAAUGAAGAUUAACCCCCCAUAGUCUCUUAGAGUGGCAUCACUUCUAGAGUAAAGGUUACGGUAUAAGAUGAGUAUGCGUUCUAUUAGUUUGUUGGUGUGGUAACGGCACACCAAGACUACGAUAGAUAGGGGCCCUGAGAGGGGGAUCCCCCACACUGGUACUGAGACACGGACCAGACUCCUACGGGAGGCAGCAGUGAGGAAUAUUGGACAAUGGAGGCAACUCUGAUCCAGCCAUGCCGCGUGCAGGAAGACUGCCCUAUGGGUUGUAAACUGCUUUUAUACAGGAAGAAACACCUCUACGUGUAGAGGCUUGACGGUACUGUAAGAAUAAGGAUCGGCUAACUCCGUGCCAGCAGCCGCGGUAAUACGGAGGAUCCAAGCGUUAUCCGGAAUCAUUGGGUUUAAAGGGUCCGUAGGUGGAUAAUUAAGUCAGAGGUGAAAUCUUGCAGCUCAACUGUAAAAUUGCCUUUGAAACUGGUUAUCUUGAGUUAUUAUGAAGUAGUUAGAAUAUGUAGUGUAGCGGUGAAAUGCAUAGAUAUUACAUAGAAUACCAAUUGCGAAGGCAGAUUACUAAUAAUCAACUGACACUGAUGGACGAAAGCGUGGGUAGCGAACAGGAUUAGAUACCCUGGUAGUCCACGCCGUAAACGAUGGUUACUAGCUGUUUGGACUUCGGUCUGAGUGGCUAAGCGAAAGUGAUAAGUAACCCACCUGGGGAGUACGUUCGCAAGAAUGAAACUCAAAGGAAUUGACGGGGGCCCGCACAAGCGGUGGAGCAUGUGGUUUAAUUCGAUGAUACGCGAGGAACCUUACCAGGGCUUAAAUGUAAGUUGCAUUAGUUAGAGAUAGCUAUUUCUUCGGACCACUUACAAGGUGCUGCAUGGUUGUCGUCAGCUCGUGCCGUGAGGUGUCAGGUUAAGUCCUAUAACGAGCGCAACCCCUGUUGUUAGUUGCCAGCGAGUCAUGUCGGGAACUCUAGCAAGACUGCCAGUGCAAACUGUGAGGAAGGUGGGGAUGACGUCAAAUCAUCACGGCCCUUACGUCCUGGGCUACACACGUGCUACAAUGGUAGGUACAGAGAGCAGCCACUGCGCGAGCAGGAGCGAAUCUAUAAAACCUAUCACAGUUCGGAUCGGAGUCUGCAACUCGACUCCGUGAAGCUGGAAUCGCUAGUAAUCGGAUAUCAGCCAUGAUCCGGUGAAUACGUUCCCGGGCCUUGUACACACCGCCCGUCAAGCCAUGGAAGUUGGAAGUGCCUGAAGUCCGUCACCGUAAGGAGCGGCCUAGGGUAAAGUCGAUAAAUAGGGCUAAGUCGUAACAAGGUAACC
rnacentral:rRNA from 1 species